rnacentral:rRNA from 1 species
AGUGAACGCUGGCGGUAGGCCUAACACAUGCAAGUCGAACGGCAGCACAGUAAGAGCUUGCUCUUACGGGUGGCGAGUGGCGGACGGGUGAGGAAUACAUCGGAAUCUACUUUUUCGUGGGGGAUAACGUAGGGAAACUUACGCUAAUACCGCAUACGACCUACGGGUGAAAGCAGGGGAUCUUCGGACCUUGCGCGAUUGAAUGAGCCGAUGUCGGAUUAGCUAGUUGGCGGGGUAAAGGCCCACCAAGGCGACGAUCCGUAACUGGUCUGAGAGGAUGAUCAGCCACCCUGGAACUGAGACACGGUCCAGACUCCUACGGGAGGCAGCAGUGGGGAAUAUUGGACAAUGGGCGCAAGCCUGAUCCAGCCAUACCGCGUGGGUGAAGAAGGCCUUCGGGUUGUAAAGCCCUUUUGUUGGGAAAGAAAAGCAGCAGGUUAAUACCCAGCUGUUCUGACGGUAACCAAAGAAUAAGCACCGGCUAACUUCGUG